GAGUGACCUGCCCAGUUGUGGGGGAUAGCCUCUCGAAAGAGGGGGUAAUACCGCGUAAGCUGGCUUGAGUAGAGGCAAGUCAGGAAAGCAGAGAUGCGCGACUGGAGGGGCUCGCGGCCCAUCAGGUAGUUGGUGAGGUAAGGGCUCACCAAGCCGAUGACGGGUAGCUGGUCUGAGAGGAUGAUCAGCCAGACUGGGACUGAGAGACGGCCCAGACUCCUACGGGGGGCAGCAGGGGGGAAUCUUGCACAAUGGGCGGAAGCCUGAUGCAGCGACGCCGCGUGGAGGACGAAGGUCUUCGGAUCGUAAACUCCUUUUGUCGGGGAAGAUGGUGACGGUACCCGACGAAUAAGCCCCGGCUAACUACGUGCCAGCAGCCGCGGUAAUACGUAGGGGGCGAGCGUUGUCCGGAUUUACUGGGCGUAAAGAGCGCGUAGGCGGCCCUUUAAGUUGGCUGUGAAAGGUCCCGGCGUAACUGGGAUAGGUCGGCCGAGACUGGGGGGCUUGAGGACGGUAGAGGAAGGUGGAAUUCCGGGUGUAGUGGUGAAAUGCGUAGAGAUCCGGAGGAACACCAGUGGCGAAGGCGGCCUUCUGGGCCGUUACUGACGCUGAGGCGCGAAAGCGUGGGGAGCGAACUGAAUUAGAUACUCAGGUAGUCCACGCCCUAAACGAUGGACGCUAGGUGUAGGGGGUAUCGACCCCUCCUGUGCCGAAGCCAACGCAUUAAGCGUCCCGCCUGGGGAGUACGGCCGCAAGGCUAAAACUCAA
rnacentral:rRNA from 1 species